rnacentral:rRNA from 1 species
UACAGAGGUGGCAAGCGUUGUUCGGAAUUACUGGGCGUAAAGGGCGCGUAGGCGGCCUACUAAGUCAGACGUGAAAUCCCCAGGCUUAACUUGGGAACUGCGUCUGAUACUGGAAAGCUCGAGUCCGGGAGAGGUGAGUGGAACUGCGAGUGUAGAGGUGAAAUUCGUAGAUAUUCGCAAGAACACCAGUGGCGAAGGCGGCUCACUGGCCCGGUACUGACGCUGAGGUGCGAAAGCGUGGGGAGCAAACAGG